GCUUAAAACUCAAAGGACUUGGCGGUGCUUUAUAUCCCUCUAGAGGAGCCUGUUCUAUAAUCGAUAAACCCCGAUAAACCUCACCACCUUUCGCUAAUUCAGUCUAUAUACCGCCAUCUUCAGCAAACCCUCAAAAGGUAGAACAGUAAGCACAAUCAUUUUACAUAAAAAAGUUAGGUCAAGGUGUA
rnacentral:rRNA from 1 species